rnacentral:rRNA from 1 species
CGGGUGAGUAACGCGUGAGGAACCUGCCUCAAAGAGGGGGACAACAGCUGGAAACGACUGCUAAUACCGCAUAAGCCCACGGCUCGGCAUCGAGCAGAGGGAAAAGGAGCAAUCCGCUUUGAGAUGGCCUCGCGUCCGAUUAGCUAGUUGGUGAGGUAACGGCCCACCAAGGCGACGAUCGGUAGCCGGACUGAGAGGUUGAACGGCCACAUUGGGACUGAGACACGGCCCAG